UCCACAAACCAAAGUGAUUCACUUUUAAUGAUUUCUUUGUUUAUAUGUGUAACGGUGUACAUAAUUAAGUAGUUUGUUAUUGUUAAAUUCCUGUUAAACUUGGGACUAAAGCCGCAUCAUUGUAUAUUUUAUUUUGAAAGCCCACAGCGGAAGUCAGUGUUACGCUUAAUGACGUGCAUUUUGCUUAGCGCUCAGAAGCAAAAUGCUACGCUGUGGUUCGAGUGGGAACAAAGUUGGCAGUUUGUUGACUGCACUGACUGUUCUGUGUUGUCCCAUGUUACAGCUACAGAAAUAAACCAGUUGUGAGUGCUCCAUCCAACCCGUCUCCGCAAAGUUUGUGCAAACAGCAGCUGAGCAUCGUAACGAAAGUCACAUAUGGAGCAAAGAAACCAGAAAAUAUCAACAAUCUUGUUUUAAUCAUGAAAAAACCGUCUAACCGAUGAAUCGAUUAUCAAAAUUCAGAGGGUUACUCUGAAGCCAGAAACUGCGGUCAAGUGAACCGUCAUUCGUCUUCGCGUGGUCGAGCCAUCCGCACCAACGUGUAUUCGAACGUCAGCGCUAGUUUGAUACCGAGCGAGAUCACUUCCGGUUUUCAAAAUAAGACGUUACUAAGACAAGCGCAAUCAAUCGAGCUGAUUUCAAGACAUGGAUGUUUACUGUACUAUAACAACACAUUGGCCCAUAAGUUCUGACAGUGGUUGACACAGUUGACCUCAGGAGCAUGCUGUCUACUCCCUCACUCAUUAUCAAACAAUGUUACUGUAUCUCUACUAGCAUAUUGUUUCACUGUUGUACAUUUUAUGUUUACCUUUAUUAUGUUUAAAAUAUAUAUUUUUUAGUAUUGUAUUGCUGCUGUGUCAAAACAAUUUCCCCUCGGGGAUCAAUAAAGUAUUUCUAUUCUAUUCUAUUCUGUAAUUUUUUUGAGAAAUUAAGCCUUAAAGUGCAGGAGCAGCUUCACCUGAAAUUAAUCAAUGUUAAUGUUCUCAUUGAAAUGCUGCCACCUGCUGGACGAACGUUUCCCCUUCAUCAAGCUGCUGAAAGGAUCCACUUGUAGUUAUCUUAAAAGUAUAAACAUAGAUGAUUCAUUUCAAAAGUUGUGUGUAAAAUGUCACAGUUGUUUACUGUCAUGAGACUGUUACUGUAGAGAAUGGAGUGCAUUUUACAGUUGGACAUAAAAGUGAAUUGGUUGAACACUAA